UGGGGAAUUUUGGACAAUGGGCGAAAGCCUGAUCCAGCAAUGCCGCGUGUGUGAAGAAGGCCUUCGGGUUGUAAAGCACUUUUGUCCGGAAAGAAAUCCUUGGCUCUAAUACAGUCGGGGGAUGACGGUACCGGAAGAAUAAGCACCGGCUAACUACGUGCCAGCAGCCGCGGUAAUACGUAGGGUGCAAGCGUUAAUCGGAAUUACUGGGCGUAAAGCGUGCGCAGGCGGUUUGCUAAGACCGAUGUGAAAUCCCCGGGCUCAACCUGGGAACUGCAUUGGUGACUGGCAGGCUAGAGUAUGGCAGAGGGGGGUAGAAUUCCACGUGUAGCAGUGAAAUGCGUAGAGAUGUGUAGGAAUACCGAUGGCGAAGGCAGCCCCCUGGGCCAAUACUGACGCUCAUGCACGAAAGCGUGGGGAGCAAACAGGAUUAGAUACCCUGGUAGUCCACGCCCUAAACGAUGUCAACUAGUUGUUGGGGAUUCAUUUCCUUAGUAACGUAGCUAACGCGUGAAGUUGACCGCCUGGGGAGUACGGUCGCAAGAUUAAAACUCAAAUGAAUUGACGGGGUCAUAGCUGUUUCCU
rnacentral:rRNA from 1 species